rnacentral:lncRNA from 1 species
GAGCGCGCUAGCCGCCGGCCGCGGGGAGGAGACCUUGGGAGGUCGGGCCCCAGAUGGCCGGCGGCGUCCUGGCACCCCUGCCAGGCCUGGACUCCGCGUGCGACCCCGUUGUAACGCCUGAACUCAGCGCACGUUCGCCGAGCGCCACAGCGCGCCGGACGCUGUUUCUCCCUGCUGGGGACCCAUCAGGGCCCGGACAGAAACCCCGGCUGAGGCUGUGGCUGCCCUCAAGCCGCGAUAGCCCCACCGUGGGGUGUGAUAACUUUUAGGGUUCACUACGAGGGACCUUAGAAAUCAUUAUACCCGACCCCUUCGUUUUCUGUUUCAGGGAGGUGGUCUCGCUCAGACCCCAGUGGCGCGAUCAUGGCUCAGUGCAACCUCGAACCCGUGGCUCAACCGAACCUCCCAACCUGCUAACUUUUUAAAUAUUUUGUAGAGAUGGGGGUCUCGCCAUGUUGCCCAGGCUGGUCUCGAACUCUUGAGCUUAAGUGACCCUGCGGCCUCGGCCUCCCAAAGUGCUGGGAUUACAAACCCGCGCCCGGCCUAAUCCCUUUGUUUUCUAGCUGAGGAACGGCUCUGAGGUUACGUUACUAGGUCGGGUUACUAGGUAGGGUUCCCGUGAGCGGAAUCAUCUCCGCCCAGUUGCCACCCCGGUCCAGACUGCCAGACCUUCAGGAAGGAGUAUCUUCGCAACUCCCCACCCCAUUGUAAGGAAAUUCCUCACACUUCUCCCUCAAAGGGGGCGCAGCUGGGUCAACUCCCACUGGCAGGAUGCUCUCCGGAGCUGCUAGAAGCUGCCUCUGGGGCAUGAGGUAGAUACAGACAGAAGCUGGGCCUCUGAGACUCUACAAACGGUUGCUGUUGGGCAGGCGGACCUUAUUUUCUUCAGUCAACAGCUGAUUAAACAUUUGCCACAGGCCCGGCUGCGGUUUAGCCUCAGUAGCACAGCAGGAACUGGGGACUGAGAUUCGAUUUUG